AUUGAUGCUUGACAAUACAUAUCAAAUUUCUUCCUUGAUAAUUUCCAAACAGAGGAUGGCAAAACAAAAAGAAACUGAUCUUGGCCGAAGCCGAAGAAAUACGGAACCGGUGUUGUUUACUUUAUCGAUUAACUUGAGGCUAUUUUUCCGGAACUGCACAUACACAGCGAUUUAUUUCCCUGAUGCUCGUUGCCGGAUAGCAUCGAACCCGGACGAUUUUACCGACCUGUACGUGCACCAGACCGGUGAAUGCAAGCUCAUCCGGAGUUCUUUGCCCGCAGAGCUAUCGAUGCCCCUAAAAGGAAAAAAUGAUGAAAGCGCUGUGGACGGAUAAUGCCGUAAAUACGAAUCCUCUCCGGAAUGGAACGGAACGGAAAAAUGAAAAGGAACCUGAUUGUUUGCAUGCAGCUAGAGGAACUACAGGUUGGAUCGACGAGAGAGCACACCGAUUCGGCCGACGCAGAAAAAAGGAGGAAAUCUGAAAAGCAAAUCAUGAUCGUGAAGCUGCGCACCCGCCGUGUCUAUUUCUUCAUAGUUUAUAAAGUCCGUCUGGGAUGUGAUCGUCACUUAUUUGGUACCAGCCAAUCUACUAAAUUCUGGAGCUUAAACGAAGCCAUCAUCUGUAGAGGCGUGGAAAUCCUUUGCAUGGUGGAUCAUCAAUCGGGAAUGUCUGGCAGUAUAGUAGUGGUGGCGUGAUUCCCAUUAUUUUGUUAUCAACAGGGUGGAGCGCC